UACGUAGGUGGCAAGCGUUGUCCGGAGUUACUGGGCGUAAAGGGCGUGUAGGCGGCAUUUUAAGUCAGAUGUGAAAAGCCAGGGCUUAACCCUGGAGGUGCAUUUGAGACUGGAAAGCUUGAGGAUCGGAGAGGGCAGUGGAAUUCCCAGUGUAGCGGUGAAAUGCGUAGAUAUUGGGAGGAACACCAGUGGCGAAGGCGACUGCCUGGACGGCACCUGACGCUGAGGCGCGAAAGCUAGGGGAGCAAACGGG
rnacentral:rRNA from 1 species